UAAGACGUAGGGGGCCAGCGUUGCUCGGAAUUACUGGGUGUAAAGGGUUCGUAGGCGGUGUGGCAAGUCGGGAGUGAAAUUUCUGGGCUUAACUCAGAGACUGCUUCCGAAACUGCUGUGCUGGAGUGUGGGAGAGGCGCGUGGAAUUGCAGGUGUAGCGGUGAAAUGCGUAGAUAUCUGCAGGAACACCCGUGGCGAAAGCGGCGCGCUGGACCACUACUGACGCUGAGGAACGAAAGCUAGGGGAGCAAACAGGAUUAGAUACCCUGGUAGUCCUAGCCCUAAACGAUCAGGACUUGGGGUGCCACCCGUUCGGGUGUCGUCCCGGAGCUAACGCGUUAAGUCCUGCACCUGGGGAGUACGGUCGCAAGACUGAAACUCAAAGGAAUUGACGGGGGCCCGCACAAGCGGUGGAACAUGUGGUUCAAUUCGACGCUACGCGAGGAACCUUACCUGGGCUCGAAAUGCUAGUGACCAGCUGUAGAAAUACGGCCUUCCCGCAAGGGACACUAGUAUAGGCGCUGCAUGGCUGUCGUCAGCUCGUGCCGUGAGGUGUUGGGUUAAGUCCCGCAACGAGCGCAACUCCUGCACACAGUUACUACUCGCAAGAGAGGACUCUGUGUGGACUGCUCCGGAUAACGGAGAGGAAGGUGGGGAUGACGUCAAGUCCGCAUGGCCUUUAUGUCCAGGGCUACACACGUGUUACAAUGCAGGGCACAAACCGUUGCCAACCCGCGAGGGGGAGCUAAUCGGAAAAAACUCUGCUCAGUUCGGAUUGCAGUCUGCAACUCGCCUGCAUGAAGCCGGAGUUGCUAGUAACCGUGGGUCAGCACACCACGGUGAAUACGUUCCCGGGUCUUGUACACACCGCCCGUCACACCACGAAAGUCGGCAACACCUGAAGCCGCUGGGCUAACCCUUUGGGGAGGCAGGCGUCGAGGGUGGGGUUGGUGAUUGGGGUG
rnacentral:rRNA from 1 species